rnacentral:rRNA from 1 species
CCUACGGGGGGCUGCAGUCGAGAAUCAUUCACAAUGGGGGAAACCCUGAUGGUGCGACGCCGCGUGGGGGAAUGAAGGUCUUGGGAUUGUAAACCCCUGUCAUGGGGGAGCAAAUUAAAAAGAUAGUACCACAAGAGGAAGAGACGGCUAACUCUGUGCCAGCAGCCGCGGUAAUACAGAGGGCUCAAGCGUUGUUCGGAAUCACUGGGCGUAAAGCGUGCGUAGGCUGUUUCGUAAGUCGUGUGUGAAAGGCGAGGGCUCAACCCGCGGACGGCACAUGAUACUGCGAGACUAGAGUGAUGGAGGGGGAACUGGAAUUCUAGGUGUAGGAGUGAAAUGCGUAGAUAUCGAGAGGAACACUCGUGGCGAAGGCGGGUUCCUGGACAUUAACUGACGCUGAGGCACGAAGGCCAGGGGAGCGAAAGGGAUUAGAUACCCGAGUAGUC